rnacentral:lncRNA from 1 species
UAAAUUUCACUUGAAAGUACAAUGAUGUGAUAGAAUGAAAAGAAAGUACAACACUAUAAUAUACAAAUAAAAGAAAGUAUGUUUUUUUUUUUUUAAAUUGUUUUUUGAAUUGGCGAAAGGUAAGGAAAAGAUGGACUAUACUUAUGCACCUGGAAGGAAUCAUUUGUUUGUUCCGGGACCCGUGAACAUCCCGGAUCAAGUACUUCGUGCAAUGAACCGAAACAAUGAAGACUANACUUGAAAGUACAAUGAUGUGAUAGAAUGAAAAGAAAGUACAACACUAUAAUAUACAAAUAAAAGAAAGUUGUUUUUUUUUUUUUAAAUUGUUUUUUGAAUUGGCGAAAGGUAAGGAAAAGAUGGACUAUACUUAUGCACCUGGAAGGAAUCAUUUGUUUGUUCCGGGACCCGUGAACAUCCCGGAUCAAGUACUUCGUGCAAUGAACCGAAACAAUGAAGACUAUCGGUCUCCAGCAGUUCCCGCUUUGACUAAAAUUUUACUUGAAGAUGUGAAGAAGAUUUUCAAAACCACUUCGGGGACCCCUUUUCUCAUCCCAACUACAGGUAUAUUAUUUUCUUUUCUCUAGGGUUAAAUAUCAACAUAUAGUUACUUAUUGCAAUAUUUUGGGUUAGGUACGGGUGCAUGGGAAAGUGCACUUACAAACACCUUGUCUCCUGGAGACCGAAUUGUGUCAUUUGUGAUUGGACAAUUCAGUUUGCUUUGGGUGGAUCAACAGCAACGACUUGGGUUCAAUGUUGAUGUGGUGGAAAGUGAAUGGGGUGCGGGUGCUAACUUGGAAGUUUUAGCAUCAAAACUGGCUGCAGAUACUGCGCAUACUAUUAAGGCUGUCUGCAUUGUUCACAAUGAGACUGCCACCGGAGUUACAAACAACUUGGCUUCCGUAAGGAAAAUACUUGGUAAAAUCAUUUUGCUUUUUUUAGUUUUUUAUCGCAUCAUAUUCAUAUUAUUACAUCCAUCUAAACUCGCCUUCUUAAUUAUUUUGUUUUAAGCGACUUAAUAUGGUAAGUUAAGUGAAAGAGAUGUUCCCUUAUUUUCUAUCUUUUGUUAUUGGUCAACCUCUAACAUUAGUAUGGUAAAAUCCAGGAAAAUAUAAUUUACUUUGUCAGUUCCUGUUUAACAACUUUAUCGAUUUAAUCAUUUAACUGUUUUCUAUAGUAAAUAAACGAUUAUACUUUUUUACUGUCAUUGUUUUUAUUAUUGUCAUUAGGAUGAAAUAAUAUUAUCUCUAGAAACAAGUGGUUUAAAUUUUAAAAGUCCUUUUUCUUGUACUUUGUAACUUUUACUAGCUCCUUGAUAGUUGUUUUUCAAUAAAUUUGGGUGGCUGUUUAAAAUAAAAAUUACAAUUUAUAACAAUCAAUAAUAAUAAUGUUUUUUAAUUUUGAAUGGUAACGUAUAAUGGUUUAUUUACUACAUAUAAAAUAGUUAACUUCUUAAUCAUAAAAUUAUGACAGUAGGUAAUGAUUUUGUAUAUUAUACAUUUAUUUAUACUGAUACCAAAAUUUGGUAACAAGGAAAAAUAGUAAUAAUUUAGAAUAGUCAAAAAAAUAUGUAAUGAUUUAAUCACACUUGAGAAAACAGUCAACUGAUGCAAUCGACAGAUGGUAAUUAAGUACGCUGUGAUUUUUUGUAUACAUUACCGGUAUAAAAAUAAAAACGGGUUUUAAACGGUAAAAAGUGUAUGAUCACCACAGAUUAAUCGAUAAAUGGUUAAUUAAAAUACAUUGUCCUUUUCUUAAUUUUUGUGUAUUAAAAUAGUAUUUUGUUGGGUAAGUAAUAAGUUUUGUAAAUUUGGUAAUAUAUAUGUUAGAUCACUACCAGCACCCGGCCCUGUUUCUAGUUGAUGGGGUGUCAUCAAUAUGCGCUUUGGAUUUCCGCAUGGAUGAAUGGGGUGUAGAUGUGGCUUUAACCGGUUCUCAGAAAGCACUUUCCCUUCCCACCGGUAUGGGAAUCGUGUGUGCGAGCCCUAAAGCCAUCGAGGCCUCUCAAACUGCAAAAUCACUUCGAGUUUUCUUUGACUGGAAAGAUUACUUGAAAUUCUACAAAAUGGGGACUUAUU